rnacentral:rRNA from 1 species
AGCGAACGCUGGCGGCAGGCCUAACACAUGCAAGUCGAGCGGCCGUAGCAAUACGGCAGCGGCAGACGGGAGAGUAACACGUGGGAACGCGCCCUUCGGUUCGGAAUAACUCAGGGACACUUGAGCUAAUACCGGAUACGCCCUUACGGGGAAAGAUUUAUUGCCGAAGGAACGGCCCGCGUCCGAUUAGCUUGUUGGUGAGGUAACGGCUCACCAAGGCGACGAUCGGUAGCUGGUCUGAGAGGAUGACCAGCCUCACUGGGACUGAGACACGGCCCAGACUCCUACGGGAGGCAGCAGUGGGGAAUAUUGGACAAUGGGCGCAAGCCUGAUCCAGCCAUGCCGCGUGGGUGAUGAAGGCCCUAGGGUUGUAAAGCCCUAUCAGCGGGGAAGAUAAUGACGGUACCCGCAGAGGAAGCCCCGGCUAACUUCGUGCCAGCCGCCGCCGUAACAC